rnacentral:rRNA from 1 species
UUCCGUAGGUGAACCUGCGGAAGGAUCAUUAAUGAACUUCACAAGUCGGCCAUUCUGUUGCUGGUGGGGAAACUCACAUGUGCACGCUUGGUCGCAAACCCACACACCUGUGCAUCCAUGACUCUGAGGUUGUAACGACUGAAAGAGUACUUUUACACACUCUGAAUGUAACGGAAUGUCUAUGUGCUAUAAUGUACAAAUAAACAACUUUCAACAACGGAUCUCUUGGCUCUCGCAUCGAUGAAGAACGCAGCGAAAUGCGAUAAGUAAUGUGAAUUGCAGAAUUCAGUGAAUCAUCGAAUCUUUGAACGCACCUUGCACCCUUUGGUAUUCCGAAGGGUACACCCGUUUGAGCGUCAUUGUAAUCUCACUUUCAAUACUUUUGUGUUGAAAUGUGGACUUGGAUGUUGCCGUGUCAUUACGGCUCGUCUCAAAUGCUUGAGUGUACCUUGCAUUGCAAUGUAUCCAGUGUAAUAAACAUUUCACGGGAGCCAGGUCGCAAGACCGCAUUGGUAUUGACAAGCUCUAUGCUUCAAACCGUCCUCGGACAAUUUUAACUGACAAUUUGACCUCAAAUCGGGUGGGACUACCCGCUGAACUUAAGCAUAUCAAU